UACGGAGGGAGCUAGCGUUGUUCGGAAUUACUGGGCGUAAAGGGCGCGUAGGCGGUCUUGCAAGUCAGAUGUGAAAGCCCUGGGCUUAACCCGGGAAUUGCAUUUGAAACUGCAAGGCUAGAGUGUGGGAGAGGUAGGUAGAAUUCCCAGUGUAGAGGUGAAAUUCGUAGAUAUUGGGAAGAAUACCAGUGGCGAAGGCGGCCUACUGGACCACAACUGACGCUGAGGCGCGAAAGCGUGGGGAGCAAACAGG
rnacentral:rRNA from 1 species